rnacentral:rRNA from 1 species
ACGCUGGGGGGCGUGUUUAACACAUGCAAGUCGAGCGAUGAAGUUUCUUCGAAAAUGGAUUAGCGGCGAACGGGUGAGGAACACGUGAAGAAUCUGCCCUCCACUUUGGGAUAACACCGGGAAACCGGUGCUAAUACUGAAUAUUGAAACAUAAGUGGCAUCACUGAGUUUUGAAAGAAUUUCGGUGGAGGAUGACUUCGCGGCCUAUCAGCUAGUUGGUGAGGUAAUGGCUCACCAAGGCAACGACGGGUAGCCGGCCUGAGAGGGCGACCGGCCACACUGGGACUGAGACACGGCCCAGACUCCUACGGGAGGCAGCAGUGGGGAAUAUUGGGCAAUGGAGGAAACUCUGACCCAGCGACGCCGCGUGCGGGAUGAAGGCCUUCGGGUUGUAAACCGCUUUCAGUAGGGAAGAAGCGAAAGUGACGGUACCUACAAAAGAAGCACCGGCUAACUAUGUGCCAGCAGCCGCGGUAAUACAUAGGGUGCAAGCGUUGUCCGGAAUUAUUGGGCGUAAAGAGCUCGUAGGUCGUUUGUUACGUCGGAUGUGAAAACCUGAGGCUCAACCUCAGGCCUGCAUUCGAUACGGGCAAACUAGAGUUUGGUAGGGGAGACUGGAAUUCCUGGUGUAGCGGUGGAAUGCGCAGAUAUCAGGAGGAACACCAAUGGCGAAGGCAGGUCUCUGGGCCAAUACUGACACUGAGGAGCGAAAGUCUGGGGAGCGAACAGGAUUAGAUACCCUGGUAGUCCAGACCGUAAACGGUGGGCACUAGUUGUGGGAACCUUCCACGGUUUCUGCGACGCAGCUAACGCAUUAAGUGCCCCGCCUGGGGAGUACGAUCGCAAGAUUAAAACUCAAAGGAAUUGACGG